rnacentral:rRNA from 1 species
UACGUAGGGUGCAGGCGUUAAUCGGAAUUACUGGGCGUCAAGCGCACGCAAGCGGUUUGUUAAGUCAGAUGUGAAAUCCCCGAGCUUAACUUGGGAACUGCAUUUGAAACUGGCAAGCUAGAGUCUUGUAGAGGGGGGUAGAAUUCCAGGUGUAGCGGUGAAAUGCGUAGAGAUCUGGAGGAAUACCGGUGGCGAAGGCGGCCCCCUGGACAAAGACUGACGCUCAGGUGCGAAAGCGUGGGGAGCAAACAGG